rnacentral:rRNA from 1 species
UAACACGUGGAUAACCUACCUAUAAGACUGGGAUAACUUCGGGAAACCGGAGCUAAUACCGGAUAAUAUAUUGAACCGCAUGGUUCAAUAGUGAAAGACGGUUUUGCUGUCACUUAUAGAUGGAUCCGCGCCGCAUUAGCUAGUUGGUAAGGUAACGGCUUACCAAGGCGACGAUGCGUAGCCGACCUGAGAGGGUGAUCGGCCACACUGGAACUGAGACACGGUCCAG